rnacentral:rRNA from 1 species
AUUGAACGCUGGCGGCAGGCCUAACACAUGCAAGUCGAACGAGCGGCGGACGGGUGAGUAAUGUCUGGGAAACUGCCCGAUGGAGGGGGAUAACUACUGGAAACGGUAGCUAAUACCGCAUACCAUCAGAUGUGCCCAGAUGGGAUUAGCUUGUAGGUGGGGUAACGGCUCACCUAGGCGACGAUCCCUAGCUGGUCUGAGAGGAUGCACAGCCACAGUGGAACUGAGACACGGUCCAGACUACUACGGGAGGCAGCAGUGGGGAAUAUUGCACAAUGGGAGCAAGCCUGAUGGAGCCAUGCCGCGUGGAUGAAGAAGGCCUUCGGGUUGUAAAGCACUUUCAGCGGGGAGGCGUUACCCGCAGAAGAAGCACCGGCUAACUCCGUGCCAGCAGCCGCGGUAAUAC